AAAACGCAAGGGAAUAUAAAAUUUUGGUUAACAAAAAGAGGCAGGAAAAUAGAAAUAGAAGUACAAACAAUGGAUUGAUUAACUAAAUUAAGUCAAAAUGAUAGACUUAAUUUAACCAAAGCAAUAAUUCUAUUGAAUGUAGAUGGACCAACACUUUGUAAUAUCUGAGGUAUUUAUACUUUAAGAAAGCAACACACAGCUGUAUGCUAUCUCCAAGACAUAUUUUAAAUAUAAAGCCAAAAUUGCAAGUAAAAGAUUAUUUUAAAAGGAUGUGACAUACAAACAGUAAGUAUGGAAAGCUGGUAUAACCAUAUUUAUAUGAAAAUAGACCAAAGAGAAUGAUCAGAAUUGAACAAUAUUUUAUAAUGCUAAAAGUCAAUUUAUCAAUCUAACAGCCAUUAAUGCCUAUAUCCAUAAAAACAAACUAAAAAUACAUGAAGCAGAACUGGCAAAACUAAAGGGAGAUUAGAAUAAUCAUCAAAGAUAGUCUCUUAAAAAUUAAAAAGAAUCAGUAAGGAUACAGAAUAUAUAAACAACUGUAUCAACUCACUUGUCUAAUUGACAUUUCUAGGAUACUAUAUUCAACAACUUCAGAAAACAUAUUUUUUCAAAUACUUAUGGGAUGUUCACCAUAAUAGAACAUUUAUCAUAUGCUAGGCCAAAAGUAAGUCUUAAUAUAGUUUGAAGGAUUGAAAUAAUAAAAUAUUUAUUCUUAUCACAAAUGAAUUAAAUAAAAAUUAUGUAUCUAGAAGAGAUAUGAAUAUUUGAAAAUAAAAUAGCAGACUAGGAAAUAAACUAUUGGCCAAAGAAGAAAUUACAAAAAAGUUAGAAAAUUUUUUGAACCGCAGGUAAUGGGUACAGAACGCAUCAAAAUUAGUAGGAGCAACUAAGGCAAUAUCUUUUUUUUUUACCUUUUUUAAGAUUUUUUUUGGAGAGAGAAAGCAUGGCAAGGAAGGGCAGGGAGGAGCAUAGGGAGAGAGAAACCCAAGCAGACUCUACCCUGGGCUUGGAGCCUGAAGUGGGGCUGAAACCAAGAGUCAGAUGCUCAAAGAACUGCAACAUGAAGCACUCCAAGGAUUUUUUUUAUCUUUAAACACUUACAUUUGAGAGGAGGUCUAAAAGCAAUGAUCUCAGUUUAUAGCUUAAGAAAUGUGUAAAUAUCAGUAAGUUAAACCUAAAAUUGGUAGAAGGAAAUAACCAACAUAAAAGUAGAAAUCAAUGAAAAUUUUUGAGAACGUAAAGUUGAGAAAAUUAACAAAGCAAAAAGUUGGUUUUCUGGAAAGAUUAAUAAUAAUAAUAUUGAUAAAUCCUGUGAGAGUCAUCAACAAAAAAGGAAAAUGUAAAUUAUUGAAAAUGGGAAUGAAGAGUAAAUAUCACUAUAUUGCUCACAGACAUAAAUAUGGUAAUGUAAGAAUAUAAUAAACUUAUGUCAAUAAAUCCAAUAACAAAUAAAAUAGACAAUUGAAACAUGCAACAGUAAAUUUUUUGCAAGAAGAAAUUCUGAGUUGCAUGAUAUCUAUGAAAACUUGAGUUUAUAUUAAAACAUAAAACUUCCCAUAAAGAAAACUCCAGGCAGAUACCCUUACUAGUUAGUUUUAUCAAACAUUUCAUGAAGAAAAAAAAUCUUGCACAAACUCUUUCAGAAAAUAGAGGAGAAAUAUUUCCCAAUUUAUUUUUAGGCUACAGUAGUUCUACCAAAACUGGACAAUGGUAUUGCAAGAAUGAAGAAUUUAGAGCAAUAUAUUUUAUAGGUGGGGAAUUCUUUGAAAAUUUAUUAACAAAUAAAAUUCAGUAUUAAUCAAAUUCAUGAUCAAAUGAGUAUGUGGUUUGAUGUCUUUUUAUCAAUAUCAAAAAGUUCUCAGAAUUUACCCUUUUAAUAUUACUUUUGUCCCAUAUCCACUCUCCUCUUCUACUGAGAUAACAAAUACAUGAAGGUUAGAUCUUGAUCCUUUGUUUCUUUUUUUUUUCUCUUUGGUUUGUUCCAUCCUUUUGUCCUUCCAUGCUUUAGCCUAUCCUUUGUCCUAUCUUUCAGAUCACUAAUUCAUUCUUUAGCCAUGUGUAAUCUGCUGUUAAAUCCAUCCAUUGAAUAUUUUCUUUAAAAUCUCCAAGAUUUGGAGGUGGGGCAAGAUGGCGGAAGAGUAGGGUCCUCAAGUCACCUGUCCCCACCAAAUUACCUAGAUAACCUUCAAAUUAUCCUGAAAACCUACAAAUUCGGCUUGAGAUUUAAAGAGAGAACAGCUGGAAUACUACAGUGAGAAGAGUUCACGCUUCUACAAGGUAGGAA
rnacentral:lncRNA from 1 species